rnacentral:ncRNA from 1 species
AGUUACCUGAUGAAAGAAAAAGUAAACAAAAUUAGCGAGUAUAAAGAGAGGAUCUUCGAUGGCUGAAAAAGAUUCCCGUAAUUUUGAUUGAAAGACACUCUGGAGGGUUAGCAGUGCAAAGCUGUUACGUUUACGAGCGUUAAUCGUUGAGGAAAGCAUCCAUUGCUUUCAAAAAAAGGUGGUACCACGGUCUAAUUCAUUUCGCUCGUCCUUAUU